rnacentral:lncRNA from 1 species
CAGCAGCUGUGGAUGGGCAAAGAUAUGCAAGAGAUCUCUUCUCGCUGGGUCCCCGGGCUUCAAGAGCAGCACCGGCGACUUCAUGGCGAGGACUUAGAUGUCUACACGCUGUCUACCUGUUAGAUGGCAACACUGGCACCAGGUAUGAACACUGCAUAUUCUGGUUGGACAAUUUGUUUAUGUUUUUUAUUCUCUGAACCGCCUCAUUGGAUACAUAAAUUUUAAGCUUUGUAUGCGAUUAUGUUUAUGCAACAUAAAUGCUUGAAUAUAUUGUUCUUGUACAUAUUCUGAAAGAGCUUUAAUUAGUAGAUGUCCAUGGCAGCAAAUUGCAGGCUUACAAGUUAUUAAGUAUCAUAUGCUGCUCUAAGUUGAUUAUGUGUUCCAGUCCAUCUCGACACUAACAUCCAUUGGAAUCCCAUAUUGUUGCUUAGACUCUCAUCCUUGGCCAUAAACAUAUAUGAGUAGUGAUCGUUGUUGAGGCGUUGAGCCCUCAAUGAAACAAUACCUCAGUUUUAUACGUGACAGCAGUGCAAGACUAUUCAAAACUGUAGCUACUCUUGCUGAACCGCCACAUGUGUGCUUGUACCAGUUUGUGACUCUGUCCUUGAAACCGUCGGGUAUUUGUUCGUUUAUUUCUGAACUUGGAGCGGAGGCCUUUGCUCUACUGAAAUGAGCCACUCGUUCCUUGCAACCAUACUACAUGUUUUCUAUGGCUUGUUUCGUAAUUGAUGUUAUAUGCUGGACAAAAUGGUGGCAGCCUAGGACUGAUGGUGGUGUACUGGUGUUUGCUGCCACAGGCAAAGGGCGCGUGAGACACACAUAUACUUUGAGUAAGCCUGUCAAUGCUGAAGAUGUGCAAGUAGCAUGAUGUGUAGCGAGCUGGAAGGAGGUGCCCUGUUUCUCUUGGGGCAGGUGCCCUGGCAUUAAUGCACUGUGGAAUUUCAUCUCGUUUCUUUCUGAAUUCCGGUCAGAGGCCUUUGUGGUAUGGUUUCAUUUUUAUUCUUGAAUGUAAUCGACAUGUUCCUUUUUUGAUUUCGUUCUGAACUUGAGGACGGAGAUCUUUGCUUUACUGACAAUGAUUUGCGGAUUCGCUGCGCCAUAAAUAAUUUGUUCUUGUAUGCGUGUGUUUCCAAAGCCUGUAACACCAAAAUUGGUGCUUAAUUGUUAUGCUCCUUGUAACAUAUACGCUUAAUAACCUGUGGUGCAGACUUACAGUCAGGGUUGUUGUAUGAUUGUGUCUCAGCUUUGUUGUUGGCGCCAUCAGCUUCAGUCUGAACAGAAGGCAUGCUCUAUGUUCUGAAGAAUCAUGGACGACGAGCA